rnacentral:rRNA from 1 species
AUUGAACGCUGGCGGCAUGCCUUACACAUGCAAGUCGAACGGCAGCACGGGUGCUUGCACCUGGUGGCGAGUGGCGAACGGGUGAGUAAUAUAUCGGAACGUACCUUAUUGUGGGGGAUAACGCAGCGAAAGCUAUGCUAAUACCGCAUAAUCCCUAAGGGGGAAAGCGGGGGACCGUAAGGCCUCGCGCACUUAAAGCGGCCGAUACCGGAUUAGCUAGUUGGUGAGGUAAAGGCUCACCAAGGCAACGAUCUGUAGCGGGUCUGAGAGGAUGAUCCGCCACACUGGGACUGAGACACGGCCCAGACUCCUACGGGAGGCAGCAGUGGGGAAUUUUGGACAAUGGGGGCAACCCUGAUCCAGCCAUGCCGCGUGAGUGAAGAAGGCCUUCGGGUUGUAAAGCUCUUUCGGCCGGGAAGAAAUCGCACAGGCUAAUACUCUGUGUGGAUGACGGUACCGGCAUAAGAAGCACCGGCUAACUACGUGCCAGCAGCCGCCGUAA